UACGUAGGGUCCGAGCGUUGUCCGGAAUUACUGGGCGUAAAGCGUGCGCAGGCGGUCCUUUAAGUCUGAUGUGAAAGCCCACGGCUCAACCGUGGAGGGUCAUUGGAAACUGGGGGACUUGAGUGCAGAAGAGGAAAGCGGAAUUCCACUUGUAGCGGUGAAAUGCGUAGAGAUGUGGAGGAACACCAGUGGCGAAGGCGGCUUUCUGGUCUGUAACUGACGCUGAGGCGCGAAAGCGUGGGGAGCAAACAGG
rnacentral:rRNA from 1 species